AACGAACGCUGGCGGCAGGCCUAAUACAUGCAAGUCGAACGCCCGUAGCAAUACGGGAGUGGCAGACGGGUGAGUAACGCGUGGGAACAUACCCUUUGGUACGGAACAACUCCGGGAAACUGGAGCUAAUACCGUAUGUGCCCUAUGGGGGAAAGAUUUAUCGCCAAAGGAUUGGCCCGCGUCUGAUUAGCUAGUUGGUGGGGUAACGGCCCACCAAGGCGACGAUCAGUAGCUGGUCUGAGAGGAUGAUCAGCCACACUGGGACUGAGACACGGCCCAGACUCCUACGGGAGGCAGCAGUAGGGAAUAUUGGACAAUGGGCGAAAGCCUGAUCCAGCCAUGCCGCGUGAGUGAUGAAGGCCUUAGGGUUGUAAAGCUCUUUCGGCGGGGACGAUAAUGACGGUACCGCAGAAGAAGACCCCGGCUAACUUCGUG
rnacentral:rRNA from 1 species